UACGUAGGGUGCGAGCGUUAAUCGGAAUUACUGGGCGUAAAGCGUGCGUAGGCGGCUUUGCAAGUCGGGUGUGAAAUCCCCAGGCUUAACCUGGGAACUGCAUUCGAGACUGCAUUGCUAGAGUAUGGGAGAGGGAAGUGGAAUUUCCGGUGUAGCGGUGAAAUGCGUAGAUAUCUGGAGGAACACCGGUGGCGAAGGCGGCAUCCUGGACCAACACUGACACUGAGGAGCGAAAGCCAGGGGAGCAAACGGG
rnacentral:rRNA from 1 species